rnacentral:lncRNA from 1 species
AUGCAGGAACACUACCACAAAGAGCAACAAAAUUCUGUGAUAUCUGGUCCUGUUGUAUGGUGUCCGUGGGCUGUGUUUGUACAGGUUCAUCUCUGUAAAGAGUGGAAAGGUUUGAAAGCAGUGACAACUUGGUCCAUCUCCUCUGGCACAGCAGAGAAGUAUGGGGGACAAAAAAGACUGUUAAAAAGGAGCAUCGGACGAGGCAACAAAGGCUGGUCAGAGUGCCAGAGGGCUGGUGUCCCAGCAGCAGGCUGCAUGGGUGCUGAGGGAUGCUGAAUGUGCACCCAGAGCAAGGCUCGCCACCGUGGCUAACAGGUAACACAGGUAACAGAGACACAACAACAGCGCCUUUCUUUUAACUGCUCUAGGAUGUAGGUAGGAACAAAUUACUUUCUGUUGCUGAGCAUAAAAGUUUUCAAGGCACUUUUUUCUUUCUUUCUUUUUUUUUUUUUUUUUUUUUUUUCCUCCCUCCAUGACAGACUAAAGAACUCAUUGGUGCUGUAAUGAAAGGCAGACUGCGUUCCCUGUCAUGUCAAGAACGCUGCAUCGGGAAAGUCGACAUGAUUUCAUGGCUAAUGAUUCACUCGCUAAUAUCAAUGUGGGCUGCAGUGAGGAUAACCAAGUUGAGCUGUCUUAGAUCAAAUGAUUCAAUUAGGCCAGCUGUCCCUAUUUGUCAUGGCUCAACUCGCUUUCAAAUUACCUUUCCAAAGUGUGUACGUGCCUUAGCAUAGAACUUAACAGCUCGACUGUUUUACAAAACAGGGAUAUUUAGCCAUGAUGAUAAGGGGAAAGAAAGACAUCCCUUUUCAUCUGCGCUGAAUAUUUUCCUUAGCAGCUACAGUAUGUAUUUGCCAGGGUAAACUUUAAACAUCGCAGUCAAAUGUGAAUCACUUGACUCUCCUGACAACGCUCUUUUGGAUUUCUAGACUGUCUUUGGGCAGAUUAAUGAAAAAGAAAAGAAAACCUAAUGGGGUGCGCAUGUGCACAAGGGCAACUGAUACAAAAAGGAGCAAAGGGUUCAUAGAAACCAAUAAAUAAGUGCAUAGUCCCUCA